GACGAACGCUGGCGGCGUGCUUAACACAUGCAAGUCGAACGGAAAUUAGUAGACAUUAGCCUCGGCUAGAGAUUACUAAUGAGAGUGGCGAACGGGGGAGUAACGCGUUAGCAACCUGCCUAUGCCAGGGGGAUAGGCUCGGGAAACCGGGAUUAAUACUGCAUCACAUCGUUGAAACACAUGUUUCAACGGUCAAAGAUUUAUCGGUCUUAUAUGGGCUGGCUUCUGAUUAGCUUGUUGGUGAGAUAACAGCCCACCAAGGCGACGAUCAGUAGCCGGGAUGAGAGAAUGAACCGCCACAUUGGAACUGAGCCACAGUCCAAAAUCCUACGGGAGGGAGCAGAGGGGAAUAUUGCACAAUGGGGGAAACCCUGAUGCAGCGACGCCGCGUGAACGCAGAAGGUAUUCGUAUCGUAAAGUUCUGUCCUAUGGGAAGAUAAUGACAGUACCAUAGAAGAAAGCUCCGGCUAAAUACGUG
rnacentral:rRNA from 1 species